GAUGAACGCUAGCGGGAGGCUUAAUACAUGCAAGUCGAACGGCAGCAGGAUUAAUUUAUUAAUGGAUGGCAAGUGGCGCACGGGUGAGUAACGCGUACACAACCUGCCCUUAAGAGGGGGAUAGCCCUGGGAAACUGGGAGUAAUACCGCAUAGUAUUAACUGGAUGCAUGUUUGGUUAAUUAAAGUUUAGGCGCUUAAGGAUGGGUGUGCGUUAGAUUAGGUAGUUGGUGAGGUAAUGGCUCACCAAGCCGACGAUCUAUAGGGGGCGUGAGAGCGUGACCCCCCACACGGGUACUGAGACACGGACCCGACUCCUACGGGAGGCUG
rnacentral:rRNA from 1 species